rnacentral:rRNA from 1 species
GAUGAACGCUGGCGGCGUGCCUAAUACAUGCAAGUCGAGCGAAUGAUGAGGAGCUUGCUCCUCUGAUUUAGCGGCGGACGGGUGAGUAACACGUGGGUAAUCUGCCUGUAAGACGGGGAUAACUCCGGGAAACCGGGGCUAAUACCGGAUAACAAGAGGAAAUGCAUAUUUCCUUUUUGAAAGUCGGUUUACGCUGACACUUACAGAUGAGCCCGCGGCGCAUUAGCUAGUUGGUGAGGUAAUGGCUCACCAAGGCGACGAUGCGUAGCCGACCGGGGAGGGUGAUCUGCCACACUGGGACUGAGACACGGCCCAGACUCCUACGGGAGGCAGCAGUAGGGAAUCUUCGGCAAUGGGCGAAAGCCUGACCGAGCAACGCCGCGUGAGCGAUGAAGGCCUUCGGGUCGUAAAGCUCUGUUGUUAGGGAAGAACAAGUAUGAGAGUAACUGCUCGUACCUUGACGGUACCUAACCAGAAAGCCACGGCUAACUACGUGCCAGCAGCCGCCGUAACAC